UGUGUAUUCAUCAAGCAGAGCCGUCUAGAGU
rnacentral:piRNA from 1 species